GCAACAAUAGUGAUAAGGAUAUGAAUACAUUCUAUUCAAAUGUAGAGAGAGUGUGAUUGGUGAAAACACUUUGCGAAUGUAUGUAUUUACUCCCUUUGAAUUGCCCUUGAAAAAGUGUGCCGUAAUUCUUGCGUUAAAAGGUUUGAGGUGUAUACAGUAAUUGUAUAAACAAAGGUGGUACCGCGUGCGACAGACGUCCUUUGA
rnacentral:ncRNA from 1 species